rnacentral:rRNA from 1 species
UACGUAGGGUGCAAGCGUUAAUCGGAAUUACUGGGCGUAAAGCGUGCGCAGGCGGUUUUGUAAGUCUGUCGUGAAAUCCCCGGGCUCAACCUGGGAAUUGCGAUGGAGACUGCAAGGCUAGAAUCUGGCAGAGGGGGGUAGAAUUCCACGUGUGAGCAGUGAAAUGCGUAGAGAUGUGGGAGGAACACCGAUGGCGAAGGCAGCCCUCG